GACGAACGCUGGCGGCGUGCCUAAUACAUGCAAGUCGAACGCAGUGGGGACGGGUGAGUAACACGUGGGUAAACUCCCAUCAGAGGGGAUAACACUUGGAAACUGGUGCCAAACCGAUACUGAUGGAUGAACCCGCUGUGCAUUAGCUAGAUGGCGAGGUAACGGCUCACCAAGCCCACGAUGCAUAGCCGGCCUGAGAGGAUGAUCAGCCACACUGGAACUGAUACGCGGGCCAGACUCCUACGGGAGGCAGCAGUAGGGAAUCUUCGACAAUGGACGCAAGUCUGAUCGAGCCACGCCGCGUGAGUGAAGAAGGUUUUCGGGUCGUAAAACUCUGUUGUUGGAGAAGCGGUAUCUAAACAAAAAGCCACGGCUAACUACGUGCCAGCAGCCGCGGUAAUUC
rnacentral:rRNA from 1 species